CAUCUAUAUUCUAAACUAUUACCACUUAUUCUGUUUUUUACCUUUUACAGCCCUGUGCUUGACCACGUAUGACACUUUGACAUCUCAAAUCAACAGUUUGACAGGGAGAGAUUAAAUAUACUAGAAAAUAUACUAGAAAACACACAACCAGAGUCUGCAGAAUAUUCAAGGACACUGCAUGGAGCUGUUCAUCUCAAGUGUUUGAGAGGACCACAGAACAUCUAUGCUGACUUCUGUCAACAAGAAGUAUUUCACAGUCAAGAUUUUACAUGCUACCUCCUGAUGCCAACACUCUUUGAAAGGAGUGCAUUGUUGCAGCGGUAAGCUUUACUUUACUUGCAAAGUGUUGUUGAAGAAAACAGGAUGCUUGCAUUUAUUUUAAUGACUUGCAGUAUGACACUUGUUAGGUAGUGAGUAGAAAUUUCUAAAGUUGCCUGGAAGUCAGCGUUCAUGUAGGUUGUAUUAAGUGUGAUAUGUGCCUACACUACAUAUUUGUUUGUCUAAAAGAAUGAAAUUUGGAAA
rnacentral:lncRNA from 1 species